rnacentral:lncRNA from 10 species
CCCGCCCCUGCCCGCCAGAGAACAACCCCCUUUGACUGUAAUUUUCCUUUACCUAUCCAAAUCCUAUAAAACAGCCCCACCCCUAUCUCCCUUCACUGACUCCUUUUUCGGACUCAGCCCACCUGCACCCAGGUGAAAUAAACAGCUUUGUUGCUCACACAAAGCCUGUUUGGUGGUCUCUUCACAUGGACACGUGAGACAUUUGGUGCUGAAGACCCAGGUCAGUGGGACUCCUUCGGGAGACCAGUCCCCUGUCCUCACCCUCACUCCAUGAAGUGAUCCACCUAUGACUUCUGGUCCUCAGACCAACCAGCCCAAGGAAUAUCUCACUGAUUUAAAAUUGGUUCCAGCUGCCACCUGGAGGAAGAAGUGACUGAGACCAGAACUGUGCCCACCAGCUGCCACACUUACCUGGCAAGGGCUCAGAGUCAAGAUACCCAACCCAGCUCAGCACUUCUCCCUGGACCUCUUCCAACUGCAUGAAGCCCUGGGUCCCUGGGUUGUUCACAGUUCGUUGUCUCCCGGUGUAGAAAAGUCUGUCAACCCUGCUUGGACAUCGCAAUCACCUGGGUAACUUUUUUUUUUUUUUUUUGAAACGGAGUUUCUCUCUUGUUGCUCAGGCUGGAGUGCAAUGGUGCGAUCUCGGCUCACUGCAAACUCUGCCUCCCGGGUUCAAGCGAUUCUCCUGCCUCAGCCUCCCAAGUAACUGGGAUUACAGGCGCCCGCCACCAUGCCCAGCUAAUUUUUGUAUUUUUAGUAGAGAUGGGGUUUCGCCAUGUUGGUUGGGCUGGUCUCGAACUCCUGGUCUCAGGUGAUCCUCCUGCCUCUGCCUCCCAAAGUGCUGGGAUUACAGGCAUGAGCCACCACGCCCGGAGUAAUCUGCAUUUUUUAAGCUUCACAGCUGACUCUGAAGCCCAGGAAGGGUUGAGAACUGCUGUUUUGUGUGUCUCUCUCCUUCCUUUUCUCACCCACUGUGCUCAAGGACUCAUGUUUGCUCUUUCCCCUCCUAGCCUCGGGUUACAAUGGUACCUGGUGAUACACCAGCCUUGUAUUUACUACAGCACACUAAAAUCAGUUCUUGUCCCAGCACAGUGUGGCUCAUGCCUGUAAUCCCAGCACUUUGGAAAGCUGAGGGGGGCAGAUCGAUAGAGCCCAGGAGUUUGAGCCCAGCCUGAGCAACAUAGUGAGACUCUGUCUUUACAAAAAAUACAAAAAUUAGCCGGGUGUCGUGGUGCACGCCUGUGGUCCCAGCUACUCAGGAGGCUGAGGUGGGAGGAUCGCUUGAGCCUGGGAAUUGGAGGCUGCGGUGAGCCAAGGUUGCACCACUGCACUCCAGCCUGGGUGACAGGGAGACCCUAAAAAAAAAAAAUCAUUUUUCAUGAGUCAUGUGACAAGUUUACCUGGGGACAAAAGAGGACUCCCCCCAAACAUGGGCCAGUUUUGGCUUAACUUGGCUACAGACGGGGCCCAGACCCUCCCUGACCACAGCCAACCCCCGACACCCCCUCCAUCUUUAGAUUCCUCCUUCACAAAGUGGCUCAAGAAAGAGUGUGGUGACUCUGUGGACGGGUCAUCAUGCUGGUGGCCUGCCCCGACGCACGACAGGGUGGUCAGCGUAUGAUCUCCACACGCAUCGACUGGCCGUGCAUAUCCAAGGCUCAUGUUCUGUUGUAAGGCCAGGCAAGGGCAGGCCAGGCUGUCUGGUGGACAGUUCAAGUGCCCCAAAGGCCGUCAUUCCAACCAGUGGCUUUUUUUUUUUUUUGAGACGGAGUCUUGCUCUGUUGCCCGGGCUGGAGUGCAGUGGCAUAAUCUCAGCUCACUGCAGCCUCCGCUUCCCAGGUUCAAGUGAUUCUCCUGCCUCAGCCUCCCAAGUAGCUGGGACUACAGGCGCCCACUACCGCACCUGGCUAAUUUUUGUAUUUUUAGUAGAGACGGGGUUUCACCAUGUUGGCCAGGCUGGUCUCGAACUCCUGACCUCGUGAUCAGCCCACCUCGGCCUCCCAAAGUGCUGGGAUUACAGGGGUGAGUCAUCACUCCCGGCCCAACUGGUGCCUUUUUUAUCCAGAGGCAUCCGUGGCUGCUAGAAAAAUGACACGGGGGAGGCGGGGGGCCCAGAGCCUGCCGGAAUGGCCAUAGCAGUGUCUGCCAGAUGCCCCGGGUAUAGCAGGACCAACAUGCCCCUCUGCCUCCCAGCAGAGCUUGGAUAUUCUCCUGUUAACAUUUAUGGAGACUUAUCAUGAGCCAGGCAUUGGGCUUAGUGCUUCUCAUGCAUUAAUUGCCUAAAUUAUCCUCACAGCCCACCUAUGAAAUAGAUAUUUCUUUUUUUUUUUUCUGAGACAGAGUCUCAUUUUGUCAUCCAGGCUGGAGUGCAGUGAUGCAAUCUUGGCUCACUACAACCUCCAUCUCCCAGGUUCAAGCAAUUCUCCUGCCUCAGUCUCCCGAGUAGCUGGGAUUACAGGCACCCACCACCACACCUGGCUAUUUUUUUCGUAUUUUUGGUGGAGACGGGGUUUCACCAUGUUGACCAGGCUGGUCUCGAACUCCUGACCUCAAGUGAUCCACCCACAUCAGCCUCCCAAAGUGCUGGGAUUACAGGUGUGAGCCACUGCACUGGGUUCCCCCUGAGGGUUUUAAUUCCCUGGCAUUUCUGGUCUGUCAUAGCAGAGUAGCCUUUGGUAUAAGGCACCCCAGUCCAGAGAUGGAGAUACUAUUGGCGAUGGGAAAACAUCAGGAGCACACCAACUGGGGCAGCCCAAUAAAAAGAGGCAUGGAUAUCACAUCAUCAGCUUCCCUGACUUUUUAUCAUAAAAGUGGUUAAUGCACAUAGUAAAAAGCUCAAACACCAUGAAAACGCACUAAUAAAAGUAUAUCUCGGCUGGGCAUGGUGGCUUACACCUGUAAUCCCCACACUUUUUGGGAGGCCGAGGUGGGUGGAUCUCCUGAAGUUGGGAGUUCGAGACCAGCCUGACCAACAUGGAGAAACUCUGUCUCUACUAAAAAAAUAAAUAAAUAAAUAAAUACAAAAUUACCUGGACGUGGUGGCACAUGCCUGUAAUCCCAGCUACUCGGAAGGCUGAGGCAGGAGAAUCGCUUGAACCCGGGAGGCAGAGGUUGUGGGGAGCUGAAAUCUCACCAUUGCACUCCAGCCUGGGCAAUAAGAGCGAAACUCGUCUCAAAAAAAAAAAAAAAGAAAAAAAAAAUUCUCUCUCCCAGAUCCUAGUCCUGAAUUGCCAUCCUGUCAGAGGUGUGUGAACCAGAGUGACUCCAUCUUGAAUAGGAGCUGGGUAAAAUGAGGCUGAGACCUACUGGGCUGCAUUCCCAGGAUGUGAGGCAUUCUAAGUCACAGGAUAAGACAGGAUGUCGGCACAAGAUACAGGUCAUAAAGACCUCACUGAUAAAACAGGUUGCAGUAAAGAAGUUGGUCAAGGCUGGGCAUGGUAGCUCACGCCUGUAAUCCCAGCACUUUGGGAGGCCGAGGUGGGAGGAUCACCUGAGGUCAGGAGUUCAAGACUAGCCUGACCAACAUGGUGAAACCCCGUCUCUACUAAAAAUACAAAAAAAAAAAAUUAGCCGGGUGUGGUGGUGUACGCCUGUAGUCCCAGUUACUUAGAAGGCUGAGGCACGAGAAUCGCUUGAACCCGGGAGGCAGAAGUUGCAGUGAGCCGAGAUCAUGCCACUGCACUCCAGCCUGGGCGACAGUCAGAUUCCAUCUCAAAAAACACAAAAAAAGAGAUUGCAGUAAAGAAGGCAGCCAAAACCCACUGAAACCAAGAUGGCGAUGAAAGUCACCUCUGAUCCUCCUCAUUGCUCAUUAUACCCUAAUUAUAAUAUAUUAGCAUGCUAAAAGACACUGCCACCACUGCCAUAACAGUUUAUAGAUGCCACGGCAACGUCAGGAAGUUACGCUAUAUGGUCUUAAAAAGGGGGAGGAAUCCUCAGUUCCAGGAAUUGCCUACCUCUUUCCCUGAAAACUCAUGAAUAACCCACCCCUUCUUUAGCAUAGAAUCAAAAAAUAACUGUACGUAUGCUUAUUCGAGCACCCCAUGACACUGCUCUGCCUAUGGAGUAGCCAUUCUGUAUAACUUUACUUUCUUAAUAAACUUGCUUUCACUUUACUCUAUGGACUUGUCCUGAAUUAUUUCUUGCACUAGGUCCAAGAACCGUCUCCUGAGGUCUGGAGCGGGACCCCGUUUCUUGAUAGUUUGUAUGUCCAGCAAAUUACUAAUCAUAUGUAUAUCUUUUUUGUUGCACAAAUAGUAUCAUCCAGUAUAUACUCUUGUGCACUUUGAUUUUUUUCAUUUAAAAAUAGAUCUUUGG